rnacentral:rRNA from 1 species
UUGCCCUCCCCCCACCGACCUGCAUAACGCGAAGAACCUUACCAGAUCUUGACAUCCCUCUGACCGCCGCAGAGAUGUGGCUUCCCUUCCGGGGCAGAGGAGACAGGUGGUGCAUGGUUGUCGUCAGCUCGUGUCGUGAGAUGUUGGGUUAAGUCCCGCAACGAGCGCAACCCUUGAUCUUAGUUGCCAGCACUUCGGGUGGGCACUCUAAGGUGACUGCCGGUGACAAACCGGAGGAAGGUGGGGAUGACGUCAAAUCAUCAUGCCCCUUAUGACCUGGGCUACACACGUACUACAAUGGCCAGUACAACGGGAAGCGAAGCUGCGAGGUGGAGCCAAUCCUAUCAAAGCUGGUCUCAGUUCGGAUUGCAGGCUGCAACUCGCCUGCAUGAAGUCGGAGUUGCUAGUAAUCGCGGAUCAGCAUGCCGCGGUGAAUACGUUCCCGGGUCUUGUACACACCG